rnacentral:lncRNA from 1 species
GAGAAAGCUAAGUGUUGAUGACAGUGUGGGCCUGACCGUGCCUGAGUAAGCCCCAUGGGAACACAGCCGUGGUGGGAAGCAGCUUCCCAGCAGCCCUCCCCGCCAUCGGGAGAAUCCCCUGAGGCCAUGAGAGGGUCUCAGGGAGGUGGACGGCCCAUCAAGUGAGAACCGAGGGCACUGUGCACUCCUGAAUCCUAGGACUCCUCUUAGGUCAUUGACUAACAACAUCAACAAUGAAAUGAAUCUGAGAAAACAGGAAAUUGAGAGCAAGAGAAAAAAAAGUUAAUUAUACUGAUUUUGUAUAAGACCCCUUUGAACACAUUUUUAAAAAAUCAAAUAGAAGGUGCCCAGGUCCACUGUGCCUUGUGAAUAUUUGUCUUGUAUAUCCUAGAGAUCUACGCAUUCAUGUGGGAAUUGAAAAGGACCCACAUUUUACUAGAAGCAUCGUUCAUUUUUGCCUCAAAACAAUGCCCACAUGUCAGAAGAACUUUCACAAUUCACAGGAACAGUGACCUAAUUAACCAACCAUAAAAUUGCCAAAUCCCUACUUCUCAUUGUUUAAUAUGCUUAGAAAACCCAUUCAAAUUGUGAAUUAUCAAGUGAGCUUACACUGAUAAAUAGAUCCAAUAUUUAGGAAUUUUUAAAUCUUCCAUUCCUUUUUUUUUUUUGUCUUUUUAAAAAUAGAACAUUAGAAUAUGUCCUCCAGGUUUUAGAGAUGGGGGAGACAUGCUUCCCUUUAUUUCUCAGUAACUCAGCCAAAAAAAAUCUGGAGAGAAUGCAAAGACAGCUACUGGAAACUUUGAAAAGUAGAUGUGAGCCCAUCAGGGAAGAGCUAGAGAAUCUGAAAUCUACUCGAAAAAGUGAGUUUGAUACUUUGUGUUCCUAUCCUAACUCCACACAGCCUGAAACUUGGAAGUGAGCAUGAUGGAGUGGAUACAGUGAGAUGCAGAAGAAAUCCUCCAGUUUGGGCUGGAAGGGAAAAAAGAGACCCCUAAAACUCAGAGACAGUGGAAGAAAUUCCUGGUGUUUUUUUCUUCUCUUUUUCUCUGUUCUUCCACAUAGCAAUUUAGUAUUGACUACAGCAUCUCUGUUACAAUGAUAGCACCGAAAUGUUGUAACCAUAUGGCCUGCAAAGCCAAAAAUACUUAUCUGACCAUCUACAGGAAAAGUUUGCUGAUCUGGAUGAAAUAUUCUGAUACUAAAUAUUCCAUUUUGAGGCUGAUAUUCCUAAUCUAUUCAUAAGGAUGGCAUAUCUACCCAGUGGGCCUGCUGGGACUCCAGUUACCCGAUGCACAUACAUUGCUUGGUGUGAAUGUACAAAGAGACCAAGAAAACCUCAGUCAAACUUGGAAAUUUCCUUUGUAAUAUUCUUUUUAAAGUUAGUUAUGUGGCAGUUUCGUGUGCAUUUUUGGUGAUGAUGCUCCACGGAACAUCUGCAGAUGUGCUGUCAAUUUGGACAGCUCUGACUACCGAGUGAAUGGGAAGUACUAACGAGAACUGUCUGCUUGGGAACUCCAUGAAGUUCGUGGCUUUUGUGAUUGAAAUAGCAUCAAUAAAAGGUUGACACUGUGGAACAACACAAGCCUGCAUGGACCUGGUUAUCUCUGACCUCGCACCACUCAUGAGACCAUACCUGAGCCCUACUCCACUUUGGCAGAACUGUUGCAUGGCCUCUCUUCAUAUAAUACCUCUCCGUACACCGUACACCGCAGCUCAAAGAAAGGAUAUAUGCUCCCUGUGAAGACUAAUGGAACUGUCCCUCCUGAUCCUCCUACAGACUUCCUCUGGCCUAAUGGGUGCACCAUUGCAUUAUAUCUGCCAUCUAUACACACAUAUACCUUUCAACCCUGCACUCUCUGAGAUGACUGGACUCAUGCCUAAAUAACUGAUGCUGUCCCUAGUGUAAGGUAAGCACUCAAUAGUUUCUCAGGAAAUGAAUAUGAUAAAUAUUUUGGCUGUUUAGAGGCUUUCCUUCACUUCAUUUUCUGUGUCCUCUUAUUUAAAAAGAAGUGCUCACUA